rnacentral:tRNA from 1 species
CGCCUCGUAGCUCAACGGAUAGAGCGCCACGCGCCACCAACUGCUGGAACCAGGAGGGGCACUGAGUGGAGGUUGCAGGUUCGAGUCCUGCCGAGGCAC